UUUCCGUAGGUGAACCUGCGGAAGGAUCAUUAUCGAAUUUCGAGGGGAAGGAAGAUGAGGAGUGGAGACUGCCGCUGGCUUUCCCGCCUGGGAAGCAUGUGCACGCCUUGCUUUUCGUUGACCUUUCUCUUACUCUCACACCUGUGCACCCAUUGUAGGUCCUCGAAAGAGGAUCUAUGUUUUUAUCAUCACACGCAUCGUAUGUCCAUAGAAUGUAACAUGAUCGUCGAUCGACCUCGCGGUCGGGUGGCGGUCUAAAUAAAUAAAUACAACUUUCAGCAACGGAUCUCUUGGCUCUC
rnacentral:misc_RNA from 1 species